rnacentral:rRNA from 1 species
UUGGAGGGCAAGUCUGGUGCCAGCAGCCGCGGUAAUUCCAGCUCCAAUAGCGUAUAUUAAAGUUGUUGCAGUUAAAAAGCUCGUAGUUGAAUUUCGGGAUCAAUAUUUCGGUCAUGCCGUUGGUAUGCACUGUUAUCAUUGAUUUCUCACCUUCUAAAGAACCGUAAUGCCAUUAAUUUGGUGUUACGGGGAAUUAGGACUGUUACCUUGAAAAAAUUAGAGUGUUUAAAGCAGGCUCACGCUUGAAUACAUUAGUAUGGAAUAAUGAAAUAGGACAUCCGAUUCUAUUUUGUUGGUUUCUAGGAUCGAUGUAAUGAUUAAUAGGGAUAGUUGGGGGCAUUAGUAUUCAAUUGUCAGAGGUGAAAUUCUUGGAUUUAUUGAAGACUAACUACUGCGAAAGCAUUUGCCAAGGAUGUUUUCAUUAAUCAAGAACGAAAGUUAGGGGAUCGAAGACGAUCAGAUACCGUCGUAGUCUUAACCAUAAACUAUGCCGACUAGGGAUCGGAUGAUGUUAAUUUUUCAAUGACUCAUUCGGCGCCUUACGGGAAACCAAAGUGUUUGGGUUC